rnacentral:rRNA from 1 species
GUCUCUUUGUAUAUUAUAGAUAAGGAGUUGGGCCUGCUCGGUGAUGUAAUUUAACAGCUGCGGUAUUUUAACUGUACUAAGGUAGCAUAAUAGUUUGCCUUAUAAUUUGAGGCUGGAAUGAAUGGUUUGACGAAGGUUAAUCUGUCUCUAUCUUAUUUAAUAGAAAUUAAUUUUUAUAGUGAAAAAGCUUAAAUUUUUUAAAGGGACGAGAAGACCCUAUUGAGCUUAUAAUUUUGAUUUAUUAUAAAUGAAUAGUAUAAAAUAAAUUUUAAUUGGGGUGAUUAAGGAAUAAAAUAUUAUAGGUAGUAACUUCCUUAAAAGAAAUAUAUAGAUUUAUGAUUUAACCAAUAUUAAUAUGUUGCUUAUAAUAUAGUUACCAUAGGGAUAACAGCGUAAUUUAUUUAGAGAGUUCUUAUUAAAAAAUGAGAUUGCGACCUCGAUGUUGGAUUAAGGUAACCUUAAGGUGUAGAAGCUUUGAUAGGUAAAUCUGUUCGAUUUUUAAAACUUUACA